GACGAACGCUGGCGGCGUGCCUAAUACAUGCAAGUAGAACGCUGAAGGAGGAGCUUGCUUCUCUGGAUGAGUUGCGAACGGGUGAGUAACGCGUGGGUAACCUGCCUGUUAGCGGGGGAUAACUAUUGGAAACGAUAGCUAAUACCGCAUAAGAGUAGAUGUCGCAUGGCAUUUGCUGGAAAGGUGCAAUUGCAUCACUACGAGAUGGGGCUGCGUUGUAUUAUGGUGUUGGUGAGGUAAAGGCUCACCAAGGCAAGGAUACAUAGCCGACCUGAGAGGGUGAUCGGCCACACUGGGAAUGGGACCCGGCCCAGAAUCCUACGGGAGGCAGCAGUAGGGAAUCUUCGGCAAUGGGCGGAAGUCUGACCGAGCAACGCCGAGUGAGUGAAGAAGGUUUUCGGAUCGUAAAGCUCUGUUGUAAGGGAAGAACGAGUGUGAGAGUGGAAAGUUCACACUGUGACGGUAUCUUACCAGAAAGGGACGGCUAACUACGUG
rnacentral:rRNA from 1 species